rnacentral:rRNA from 1 species
CCUACGGGAGACAGCAGUGAGGAAUAUUGGUCAAUGGCCGGAAGGCUGAACCAGCCAUGCCGCGUGAAGGUCAGUGCCCUAUGGGCGUUAAACUUCUUUUGUGCGGGAGCAAUAAUGGUCACGUGUGGCCAGACGAGAGUACCGUACGAAUAAGCAUCGGCUAACUCCGUGCCAGCAGCCGCGGUAAUACGGGGGAUGCAAGCGUUAUCCGGAUUUAUUGGGUUUAAAGGGUGCGUAGGCUGGGAGGUAAGUCAGCGGUGAAAUGCCCCCGCUCAACGGGGUGAAGUGCCAUUGAUACUGCCUGGCUGGAAUGCGGAUGCCGUGGGAGGAAUGUGUGGUGUAGCGGUGAAAUGCAUAGAUAUCACACAGAACACCGAUUGCGAAGGCAUCUCACGAAUCCGCGAUUGACGCUGAUGCACGAAAGCGUGGGUAUCAAACAGGAUUAGAUACCCCAGUAGUC